rnacentral:rRNA from 1 species
UGGGGAAUAUUGCACAAUGGGCGCAAGCCUGAUGCAGCCAUGCCGCGUGUAUGAAGAAGGCCUUCGGGUUGUAAAGUACUUUCAGCGAGGAGGAAGGCAUUAAGGUUAAUAACCUUGGUGAUGACCCUGUGAACUCGCAGAAGAAGCACCGGCUAACUCCGUGCCAGCAGCCGCGGUAAUACGGAGGGUGCAAGCGUUAAUCGGAAUUACUGGGCGUAAAGCGCACGCAGGCGGUCUGUCAAAGUCGGAUGUGAAAUCCCCGGGCUCAACCUGGGAACU